GGGAGCAUAGCUCAGCUGGGAGAGCACUUGCCUUACAAGCAAGGGGUCACAGGUUCAAGCCCUGUUGCUCCCACCA
rnacentral:tRNA from 1 species